rnacentral:SRP_RNA from 1 species
GCUGGGUGUGGUGGCGGGCGCCUGUAGUCCCAGCUACUCGGGAGGCUGAGGCAGGAGAAUCGCUUGAGCCCGGGAGGUGGAGGUUGUGGUGAGCCGAGAUCAUGCCACUGCACUCCAGCCUGGGCAACAGAGCGAGACUCCGUCUCAA